CCCUUAGAUGUUCUGGGCCGCACGCGCGCUACACUGACGAAUGCAACGAGCUUAUAACCUUGGCCGAAAGGUCUGGGUAAUCUCCAAAUUUCGUCGUGAUGGGGAUAGAUUAUUGCAAUUAUUAAUCUUCAACGAGGAAUGCCUAGUAAGCGCAAGUCAUCAGCUUGCGUUGAUUACGUCCCUGCCCUUUGUACACACCGCCCGUCGCUCCUACCGAUUGAAUGGUCCGGUGAAGCGCUCGGACCGCGGCCUCUUGACGGUUUUCCGUCGAUUGGCUGUGGGAAGUUCGUUAAACCUUAUCAUUUAGAGGAAGGUGAAGUCGUAACA
rnacentral:rRNA from 1 species